UUAUCAUUUUUAUAUAGCGCUUUUCAAUCUAUAUCAGACACUCAAAGCACCUUACAAUAAUGCCUCACAUUCACCCCGAUGUCAGGGUGCUGCCAUACAAGGCGCUACUACACACUGGGAGCACUAGGGGAUUAAAGGCCUUGCCCAAAGGCCAUUAGUGAUU